UACGGAGGGGGCAAGCGUUGUCCAGACUUACUGGGCGUAAAGGGUGCGUAGGCGGUCUUGUGCGUCGGUGCUGAAAGCGCCCGGCUUAACCGGGCGAGGCGUGCCGAUACGAUAAGGACUUGAGGGGCAGCGAGGGUGGCGGAACUCCUGGUGUAGUGGUGAAAUGCGUAGAGAUCAGGAAGAACACCCCGUGGCGCAAGCCGGCCACCUGGCUGCCAACUGA
rnacentral:rRNA from 1 species